AGGUUAAUGCCGAGUUUGUCAUUGGCGUCCAUUCACCCUCAGCUGAGUGAGAAGGGAACCUCCAAGCAUCAGGUUGAGCUGGACCUGGUUAACUUCAUUCAGGACUUGCUUUAUGAGUCAGAAGAAGGUCAAGAACAUGUAGCUGACGAAAAUGGCCCAAGAUCUAUCACACCUGCCAGGUUUCUGCAAUGGAUCACCGGUCAAGGCCAUGUUCCUCUCCUCCCCUCAGAAAAGAAGGACUUUGCUGUGGUGGUAAAAUUUAAUCACAAUUGUGAAGCUGACUUUGGAAAUCACAGCAUCUGCUAUCCUGUUGUGUCAUCCUGUGCUAAGACCAUUGUCCUGCCUGUGAAACAUAUGAAGUCCUAUAGUCAAUUCAGAAUGGUUCUGCUGGAGGCUUUUCAUCUUGGCCAGGAAUUUAACAAUGUGUAAAGCAUAGCAUUGUCUAUCAAUAGUUUUGAGGUGUAACUCAAAAUGCUGCUCCUUCCAUUUAAUGUUCAGGAA